GGGUUUAGCUUUCGGUCCGUGGUUUCUAUCAUGUGUACUGUUUUUGUCUAUUCCCAUCCUUGUAGUGAAUGUACCUGGCAUUUAGUUGUCGGGUGCAGGAGCUGCAUCGUUUACUGUGAAAAAAUUAGAGUGUUUAAAGCAGGCUUAUGCCGUGAAUACAUUAGCAUGGAAUGAUAUUAUAGGUCCUAAUAACUAUUUUAUUGGUUUGCAUUGUUAGGAA
rnacentral:rRNA from 1 species